rnacentral:tRNA from 1 species
GCCGGGGUAGCACAACGGGAAGUGCAGCAGCGCAAUAGUACGGAAUUAUCCCUGCAAGGAUGCGGGUUCGAGGCCCGCCCCCGGCG